rnacentral:rRNA from 1 species
AAUGAACGUUGGCGGCGUGGAUUAGGCAUGCAAGUCGUACGGUGGUUUCCUUUCGGGGAGGCCAUAGUGGCGAAAGGGAGAGUAACGCGUGGUUACAUGCCCUCGAGUCCGGGAUAGCGGCGGGAAACUGCCGGUAAUACCGGAUAAUAUCUUUGGAUCAAAGGUGUGAUUCCGCUCGAGGAUUGGACCGCGUUCUAUUAGCUUGUUGGCGGGGUAAUGGCCCACCAAGGCGACGAUGGAUACCGGGUGUGAGAGCAUGGCCCGGCUCACUGGGACUGAGACACUGCCCAGACACCUACGGGAGGCAG